UUUUCUAUCAUUGUAUAAUUGCAACACUACAACAUCUAUUAAAACAUGGCACAAUCAUAACACUACAACACCACAACAACAAAGUCACUGACAAAAUUCAGUCCAAUUUAGGAUGAUCCCAGUGCCACCUUUACAAAAUUUUUAGUUCUAUGAAUGAACAGAAGUAUACAAAGUUCAUCUCACAUUGACAACAAGCAAAUAGACAACACCACCAGAAAAGUGUUCUUCCAAGGCUUUCAAUGUUAGAGGUUAGCGAUGAAGUUGGAAUUAUUCUCAAUUACAGGGAAACAAGAUGCACGGGGCACUGCGAGCAAGAACACAAUGUAGGCUCCAAAGGACGUAGGUAAAGAGAAAUGAAGGAUGAUAUCAUUUCGCUUGCGGUGAUCAAUUGAAGUUCCUCGACGAAUUCUCAACGUGGUUCCUUGUAUCCUCAGUAGAGCCUCGACACAGUUGUUGUGAUUGGCCACCACUAAGGAUUUGUAACUGCUCAUGCUCCAGCGUCAGUGCCAUUGCUUCAAUAGGUGCUACAUUUUCACAAAACGUGAUAAUUUCUUCAGCAAAAUGAAAUUUAUUUUUUCAAGCUGAUUCAGCCGCUGGCACUCAUU
rnacentral:lncRNA from 1 species